ACCCUCUCUGGGUCUCACCUGUAGAGUUUCCAGUACUCUACCAGUUUCAACUAUGGGAGGUAGAGUCAAGCAGAGGCCUACCCAUUCCGUUCCUAGCUUGGGCAGUGGCUAGCGAGUGGAAGGCCAUCUGCUACAAGU